GAGAAAAUUGCGAAGAGGGAGACUGACAGAAUGAAUGCAUCACACAUUAAUGCUUUUUAUUUAUGCGUAGUACUUUAAAAUAACUAACUCCAUUUUUACUCAUCUUAAGUGGCAACCUCCUUCAACGCCAUAGCCUAAUCCUCCAUAUCUUUGGACUUCUUAUCUUCCCCUUCCACACCAGACUUCCUCUGCAAACUCCAUUUGUAUCCCGCUUUAAAAACCCUAAUUCAUACCCCAAUCGAUGGCUAGGCCACCUAAUUCGAAUUGCGAGUAACUGGAGCUCCGAGGAAUCAGUUUUUAUCUCCGUUUAUGAAUUGUCAAGGAUUCGGAGAUGCUCCAAUAAACAUCCUAAUAGGCAUAUUCAAAUCGCUUUUCACUUUUGUCCGGAUUUUUGUGUGUGUGUGUGAUAGUCUGUUGCUGGUUCUGUUUGAGUUUAUGCUACAAUUUGAAGCUUGUUUAAACUUUUUGUUUAAGCUGGUCAGUAUAGAGAAGACAAAGUUUCAUUGGAAGCUGGAUUGGCGUGCCGCUGCUAUAUUUUUGAAGACAAUCAACAGUAAAAGUUAUGGGGGUUGAUCUGAAUCACUGCAGCUUCUUUAAUUGCAUGACAACAAGUACUUGAGGUACUUCAAGGGUCACCACGACAGGCAUGCAAUCUGAACCUUUAAGUGGCUUACACUUCUAGGAUUCGGCAUUCUCUACUUUUUUUUAAAUAACAAUGGAGAAUAUGAUGAUGGUAUUACAAGGCUGUUUCCCUAAGUCUCUGCUCCAGAAAUGAUUGUUUUGUAUCUGGAUCACUGAAUAGAAUUGUCUUGCUUUGGAACAAAAUGGCUGACAAAUGUCAGGUACAAAGUGUGAAUUGCGUUAUUAAUUUGUUGAAUUAUUUUCUCAUCGAUCUUUGUUAAAAGUGUCCCUAUGGAAGUAGGGGUCUUCUAUGUGUUCAAGGGAGGCCGGCUGCAGCUUAUGACGACCAAGGACUUGUUUUAGCUGUUGCCUUUUUAGGAUACAUAAGAUUGUUUGAUGAUAGGAAAUAUGAAAACGUCAGAAUAUAUCAUAUGACUGAAUCAUCAUACAUCAUUAAUUAUCUAGGAAAUUUUCAGAUUCUGAUUAAGAGAAUGUUUAUACUUUUGACAUAUUUUCUCUUGGAGGAGAUGUUUCAGGAGCCAAUGUUGUGAAGUUCAGUAAUGACUGAAGACUUAUGCUUCUGAUGACAUCACUUGGACAUAUUCAUGUAAUCAUGUGCUUGAUUCUCUCCAUAGAACUCUUUUGUUGACACACAACGUCAAGCCAAUGUCAAGAAAUUCUACUUUGGAGGCUUUUUUCAGUCCUGAGGCAAUGUUUGUCAUAUAAGGUUACCAGUUGGACGAAUACUGAAGCAGAAUCUCCUGUAAUCAAAUGGGCCCCAGGAAGCUUAAUGUUUGUAACUGGCUCUUCUGAAUUUCCUUCUGGAUAACGGACUUAUUAAUUCUAGCAGCUUAUGUUGGAAGAAUGUAGGAAUUUGCAAUGGCACCUGAUCUGCGCUUUGCCUGCAUGUUUAUGGUGAUCCCACUGAAUAGCAUGAAAUUUUUUAUUCACCAAGCUUUUUCCUGCUACUCUACAGGAACAAAUGAGUUAAAGACUAAGAGAUGGAGAUUACAAACUAUUGCUGCUCUCCACGUGAGAAAAUAAAGCAGUUUUAUAUGCUUUCAAUGUUAUUCCAAUUCAUGGCAGCUUCUUGAAGUCUGGCGUGGGGCGUGAGGGACUAUUGGUGGAGUUGAUAAUUGUCGAAGCAAUAAGACGUCUUGGAGCGUCUAGUAGGUAUUCCAUGUAACUCUUACAUCAAUCUGAUCUGUUUUAGAUAUUUCUUGGUAUAUGAUAGGUUGUGAAAUGAAUAGCUGGCGAGCCUACAAUGCUCAAAAGAUACUGAAAUGAAUAUACUGAAUGAAACAGAGCGCAUACCAGUUGUUUGGUAACGUUACUGAACAACGAAAGAAUGGAAAACAAA